rnacentral:rRNA from 1 species
UACGUAGGGUGCAAGCGUUGUCCGGAAUUAUUGGGCGUAAAGAGCGUGUAGGCGGUUUGGUAGGUCCGCUGUGAAAACUCGAGGCUCAACCUCGAGACGCCGGUGGAAACCAUCAGACUAGAGUCCGGAAGAGGAGAGUGGAAUUCCUGGUGUAGCGGUGAAAUGCGCAGAUAUCAGGAGGAACACCGAUGGCGAAGGCAGGUCUCUGGGCCAUUACUGACACUGAGAAGCGAAAGCAUGGGGAGCGAACAGG